UCUGGGUAAUUUAGGCUUAGAUGAGUAGUUGUAGAAAUUGAAAAUCAUGUUCUAUUGGCGGUUUGGAACCCUUUUAGAAGGUUAUGUAUAUAAAUAGAUACUCCACUAGAAUCUUACUCUUACUUGAUAAGACUCAUUUUGUACACCAUCAUUUAUAGUGAUUUAAAAUUAUAAACCCCUGUAUUGUAGGUUAGGAAUAAAGUAGAUCAAGGUAUGGACUAUGUUUGAGUUUAUAUGUAAUUUAAUUAACUUAUUUAAUAUUGUUGACGUAAAUCAAUAAUAAAAUUAGAAUUUAAUAGUAAAAGUAGAAUCAACAUGUUACUUUGAAAUAGGCCCUUCUAAACGU
rnacentral:rRNA from 1 species